rnacentral:rRNA from 1 species
UACGUAGGGGGCUAGCGUUGUCCGGAAUCAUUGGGCGUAAAGCGCGUGUAGGCGGCCCUGUAAGUCCGUUGUGAAAGUCAAAGGCUCAACCUUUGAAAGCCGAUGGAUACUGCAGGGCUAGAGUCCGGAAGAGGCGAGUGGAAUUCCUGGUGUAGCGGUGGAAUGCGCAGAUAUCAGGAGGAACACCGGUGGCGAAGGCGGAUCUCUGGGCCGUAACUGACGCUGAGGAGCGAAAGCAUGGGGAGCGAACAGG